GUAGGUGGCAAGCGUUGUCCGGAAUUAUUGGGGCGUAAAGCGCGCGCAGGCGGUUCUUUAAGUCUGAUGUGAAAGCCCACGGGCUCAACCGCGGAGGGUCAUUGGAAACUGGAGAACUUGAGUACAGAAGAGGAAAGCGGAAUUCCACGUGUAGCGGUGAAAUGCGUAGAGAUGUGGAGGAGCACCAGUGGCGAAGGCGGCUUUCUGGUCUGUAACUGACGCUGAGGCGCGAAAGCGUGGGGAGCAAACAGGAUUAGAUACCCUGGUAGUCCACGCCGUAAACGAUGAGUGCUAAGUGUUAGGGGGUUUCCGCCCCUUAGUGCUGCAGCUAACGCAUUAAGCACUCCGCCUGGGGAGUACGGCCGCAAGGCUG
rnacentral:rRNA from 1 species